rnacentral:rRNA from 1 species
GACGUAGGAUGCAAGCGUUGUCCGGAUUUAUUGGGCGUAAAGAGUUCGUAGGUGGUUCGUUAAGUCUGAUGUUAAAGACCGAGGCUCAACUUCGGGACUGCAUUGGAUACUGGCGGACUUGAGUGUGGUAGAGGCAAUCGGAAUUCCAGGUGUAGCGGUGAAAUGCGCAGAUAUCAGGAGGAACACCGGUGGCGAAGGCGGGUCUCUGGGCAGUAACUGACGCUGAGGAGCGAAAGCGUGGGGGAGCGAACAGG